AAACUUUAGUCGGUAAAAGAAGUACUUUUUAGUGACAAAAAAAUAUAGUCCAGAAAGAGAAAAACUAGACUUUUCAAUUCAAGUUGUGUGCCCUCCAAUUCGCUUUAGCUUCCCUCCAAUUAUUUUUAAUGUGCCCUCCAAUUCUCUUUAGCUUCCCUCCAAUUAUUUUUAGUCUCUAAAUUCCCCUAAUUCAAAUCUGAAGCCUACGAUCUCUCUCUCAGUGUCUCUCUCUCCAUUUCUCUUCCUCUGAUCGGUGAGUGUCUCUUCAAUUCAACUUAGUUAUUCUUUGACCUACUUCUCGGUUUUCCUAAAACUGUACUUACGAUUCAGCUAGCAUUUUAGUUGAGUUUAGUGUAAUAUCAAUCAGAUCUCGAUCUUAUAUAUGUUUAUACUUUAUACUGUUAGUGUAUAUAAUGUCUUUGCUCGUUGUUUUAAUUUCGAUUUUUGUAUUAGAUUUGGUGUUUUUACUCUACAAUCCGAAGUUGUUCUAGGCUUUGUAUUUCAACUCUCGGUAAUCUCCAUAGCUUCUAUUCACACAGAACAUUCCCUUCACUAUUCACCAGCAGUAGUCGGGCUCGGACAAUAAAGUUUUGUGGGGGUGCUUAAAUCAUAGUAGAAGGUGCAUACAUUUGGCAGUUCAGGCAACUUCGGAAAGUAGCUUACAGGUGAUACAGGGAUUCACAUACCUCCAAAUAUGUGAGAACUACUGGAUAGGUUAGACUGGUAGCUUGGGGUAUGAACUCAGUCAGCAAUGCCCUCUAUGCAAUGAUGCAGUUAUGGAUUUGUGAUUUGUAGAAGCCCUCUAUACCAGGUAAUUCAGAAGCAAAAAGGUUUGUGGCCUACUUUACUGAAAUAUAUUUGGAAACUUUCAUCGGAGAAGACAGUUGAUGUGCCGUUUAAUAAACGCCUCAAAGUAGUAAUGCCACCUCUGGUGAACAGGUAACUCAAUUUUAUAAGCUUUAAACAUUUUUAAUGAAAUUUUAAUUAUAUAAAAGUAUUAUUACCUAACAUGUUAGUAUUUAUUAGAUCCCUGACGCCAAUAGUGGACAUGAACGAGUACCACAAACAUCAAGGAUACCUAGUAUUACUGAAAAUACAUCACUUUAUCUCAUGACUUGUUUCAAGUUUAUUUUGAAUCAUUGCUAAUAUCAAACGCCUCUCACAAAGACAUCAUCAGUUUAUCUCUUUGUUAAAUCUGGUUGUUGCCUUGUGAGUGUUACUAAACAUUUUUCCAUGUCUAUGUAUUAGCUUUUCAACUGAGAUGUUAGCUCUUUCAGUGUGGAAACAAGCAAAUGCUAGCCUUUGCUGGCUUUUCCCUUUGGAGAAGAAUAGCUGGGACUAAAGGUCUCGGUAAUUUCCUUUUGUGGGGCAUAUAUUUCAAAUUUUGACAUAGUUAUCUUGUAAUUUCAGGUCAUACAUAAUUUAGUGUGUGGAAGAUUUCAAAAUGAUAAAAAAUUGUGGAAAUCAUUUGAAGACCAUCAUUCGUUUGGAUACAGCCUCUCUACCUGCAUUAGGUAGGGGUAAGGUCUGCUUACAGACUACCCUCCCCAGACCCCACAUGGUGGGAUCAAACCGGGUUUGUUGUUGUAGUUAUUUAGGUUGAACAAUAUAAGUUUAUUUUUUAAGUUACUGUGACAUUAAUAUCUUUUAUUAGCACUUCCUUUUGAUAAGAUUUAAUGAGAUAUAUUAUGUUUUUUUGAAUUAUUAAUAACAUAUUUUAUUAUUUGGAUCAUAUUUUAGACGAA